AUGCCCAGCAAUGUCAUAUUCAUCGUAUAAUAUUAGUCUUACGUCUCUCAUAGUUAUGGUAAGCCCUAGUUAUCCAUAUAUAUUACCCGGAUCAAAGAGUUCCUUUAUAAACAUCCACAGUUGGUGAUCCUCUCAGACAUCUACCUUCCCGACGCAGUGGCUCUUAGCAUAUACACCUGCAUGCUCAAAGAGCGCUGUGGCUGCCUACAGGACCGCGCAGAGUAUUUCUGCACGGUGCUACUUCUCUCUUCGGCGAGAAGGGCGGUCGUGUGCUCCCCCACGCACUGCGGGUUUACCUAUAAUGCCCAUAGCUGGGAACUCCCUAACGCCCCUUUCGCUAGCAACGACUGCAUUCUCACAGUUCGUAGUUUGAUAGUAGGAGGGCGGAAAUAU